AUAUACAGUGCUGGCCAAAAAGAUAUCCACUUUUGGUUUUUUGUGUGUAACUUUUUUC
ensembl:ncRNA T22F3.14 ncRNA